rnacentral:rRNA from 1 species
AGCAGCCGCGGUAAUUCCAGCUCCAAUAGCGUAUAUUAAAGUUGUUGCAGUUAAAAAGCUCGUAGUUGGAUUUCGGGGUUAGUAGGUUGGUCAUGCCUCUGGUAUGUACUGGUCUCACUGAUUCCUCCUUCCUGAUGAACCUUAAUGCCAUUAAUUUGGUGUUUUGGGGAAUUUGGACUGUUACUUUGAAAAAAUUAGAGUGUUUAAAGCAAGCUAACGCUUGAAUACAUUAGCAUGGAAUAAUGAAAUAGGACGUUCGAUCCUAUUUUGUUGGUUUCUAGGAUUGACGUAAUGAUUAAUAGGGAUAGUUGGGGGCAUUAGUAUUCAAUUGUCAGAGGUGAAAUUCUUGGAUUUAUUGAAGACUAACUACUGCGAAAGCAUUUGCCAAGGAUGUUUUCAUUAAUCAAGAACGAAAGUUAGGGGAUCGAAGACGAUCAGAUACCGUCGUAGUCUUAACCAUAAACUAUGCCGACUAGGGAUCGGAUGAUGUUAAUUUUUUAAUGACUCA